UUUCCGACAUUUUAUCCAGGUUUUUCUCAGAUAUUAUGAAAACCGCUUUAAAAAUCAAAAAAAGUCUUCUUUAAAUUACCAUGGAGAUAAAAUUUCCUUUCAGAAAAUAAGCCACACUUCAUACAUUGGAGCAAGAUUUCUGAAAGAAAAGUUAGCACAACAAAUCGAAGAGUUUUUCGCGAUUAAAAUAGUCCAGGUAAGUGAUGGCUUAGGCCUCUUGGUACCCCCAAAAUGCAUUAGUUUUUUCACUGUUUAGAUAAAAAGUGAAAAAUAUGCAAACAUUUUUAUUUGCACACACUGGUUUGAACUCAGAACCCCUAGGAUGAUAAUAGGCAUAAAUAACCAUUAAAUCACAACAAACAUGCUUUAAGAAGAACAAUAUAGAGUUAUUUAACAUAAUAUAUAAUAUCCGCAUAAUAUUUGAACUCAAAAAAGCUGUAAUUUCGAAAUUUAGUCAGUUCGCUCAAUUCUGACUUUACAUUCUUAAAUCGGCAAUACACAUAAUAUGUAUAUUUUUUUAAACAUAUUAUGUAAAAAAGAAAAAUUUAAAAUUAGAUUUGUUCC